UAUAUGUUUUCACUACGGGAAAUUGGGUGUUGCAACAAACAAUCUAGACAAGUGCAAGCAGCUGCAAAGAACGUCAACGCCAGUCCACGAUUAAGAUGUUGCCUUCAAAAACCUUAACUUUGUUAACGGGGCUAUGCUUUCUUGGCGUUGCGUACGGGUGCUAUCUUUUCAGCGACGGAUGUAGAAAUUACCGUUGCUGUGUGGGAGACACGUACCCUACCCUUAUCCCGCCAGGAAUAUGCUGCGAGAGAUGCACGUGGAAUCAGAGAACGUAUUACCCAGGACAGUGGUUCUACCCAGCUGGCGAGCCUAAUCGACUUUGUGUCUGCAUGAGAUGCGGAAGAGUGUACUGUUCACCGUCAACGCGCCAUCGAUGCAGCCCGUCACGAUAUUUCCGGAACAAGUUGUGGUUCACGGGUUCAUCGGUCGGUCCUCUGUGUCGCUGUCGAUCUGACAAUACUGUUGUUUGUGGCCGUGCUGCAUGCUCCUGGCCCUAAAGACUUGCACCAGCAGAAAAUCGACGGCAGACACCAGACAUGAUCGUAUGGUGAAACUAAGGAAUCCUUAUUCUAGACCAUGCUAACUUGACCAUGCUGUUGAUGACAAACUUCCCUUAAACUUGGAAAUUAGAAGUGAAAAGUAUAGGUAUACUGGAACUACGUUAUAAUAUGAUGAAAUAUAUGACUGUCUUCACACUAAGUGAUUUGACUGAAUGAUAACCUGGGUAAAUGUUGAUAGAAUAACCUCCUGUUUUUAAUAUAAAAUUUUAUGUAAAUUUGAAGUUUACAACUUCCUCACGGCCAAUAAAAGCAUGGAUUAAAUAA